rnacentral:rRNA from 1 species
UACGUAGGGAGCAAGCGUUGUCCGGAAUUAUUGGGCGUAAAGCGUCCGCAGGUGGCACCUCAAGUCUGCUGUCAAAGACCGGGGCUUAACCCCAGAAAGGCAGUGGAAACUGAAGUGCUAGAGUGCAGUAGGGGUAGAGGGAAUUCCCGGUGUAGCGGUGAAAUGCGUAGAGAUCGGGAAGAACAUCGGUGGCGAAAGCGCUCUGCUGGACUGCAACUGACACUCAGGGACGAAAGCUAGGGGAGCGAAUGGG